rnacentral:ncRNA from 1 species
UUUGAGCCGAGGGGCCUAGCGGAAACGCCAGAUUGGCGCUAAUCAGAAACGUUAGCAAGUGAGCCCGCAUCUUCGUUGUAAUCUGAUAACGACGGGAUGAGAUACUGUGUCCAUCGCAAGGGACACGUCAGAUAGUAGCAAA